CGCGGAAACAACAGUUCCCGUACGAUCACCGAAGUUAAGCAACGUCCAGCCUGGUGAACUUCUAGACGGGUGCCCGUUUGGGAAUACUAGGUGCUGUAA